rnacentral:tRNA from 1 species
GGUGGCUCAGUGGGAGAGUGCUUGCCUUGCAUGCAUGAGGACCUGGGUUCGAUUCCUCAGCACCA